GACAGAGGGUGCAAACGUUGUCCGGAUUUAUUGGGCGUAAAGAGCGUGUAGGCGGCCAGACAGGUCAGCUGUGAAAACUCGAGGCUCAACCUCGAGACGUCGGUUGAAACCGUCUGGCUAGAGUCCGGAAGAGGAGAGUGGAAUUCCCGGUGUAGCGGUGAAAUGCGCAGAUAUCGGGAAGAACACCCGUGGCGAAGGCGGCUCUCUGGGACGGUACUGACGCUGAGACGCGAAAGCGUGGGGAGCGAACAGG
rnacentral:rRNA from 1 species